GGCUCGGAGGAGGAGGAGGCGGCGACGGCUCCCUCACGCCUGGCGCCGGAAAGAUGCUUGCUGCUGUCUGCUGUGACUCUGGCGGCGGUGAUGACGCAGGAGGCCUCUGGUGCCGAGACACGGGCGUUCAGAGCGGCCAAGACUGCGGCCCAGCACCACCCCCGGCCCGGCCAGGCAUUCAUCGAGGCCAACUGUACCCGACACUUGUGCCCUAAUGUAACGCACGGUGCCCGACCUUAAGACCCCUAACUACUAACGACGCCUCCGAGCGAGCCCUCCCCCUCCUUUAUAUUCAACCAAAUGAAACCUAACUUAAUCCUCUGAGACGUCCACUCCCAUACGUAGGGCUAAUUAGGACAGGUGAACUCCUCAGGCAGCUCAACACAGUGUCCAUCAACAGCUCCAAGGAAUGGUGGGACAUCCGGCACAGCAAGGAUGGGCUGGCGGAGGAGGAGCUGUCCGUGAGUGGCUGCAGAGUGGUGUGGUCCCGAGGUCAGGCUGGCCGAGUGGGGUCCCGGCAGGUUGUCAAGUGCAUGACCUGAGACUCGGCUGUGAUACAGGCCAUGCUCGCCUCCUCCUACACCUGCCCAGACCAACCGUCCCUGCUGGGAGAACCUGUCCCUCAAGAACCCACAGGUUCAAUCACAGGCUCUGUGAAGCUUACGUGGAGGAAAACUGGUCUCCCGGCCAGGUGGUCAUCAACCUUGUGGCCACGGACCUUGACGCCUGGGACCUGGGCAAGCUGAGAUACACCGUCCUGCACCAGACCUCAGAGGCAGCCGUCACCAUGAACAAGGAAGACUUCACCCCUUCCCAGGCAGUCUAUACACUGAGGCACCCCUGGAUCGCGAGUCCCUGCCCGUGCACAGCCUCAAGGUGUCCGUGAUGGACGAAGAGAUCCGGGCCAGCUUCACGGUGGUGCGCGACAAGAACAAAAACCCACCAGUCUUUACGCUGCCGGAGUACCAGGCGAACAUCAUGGCUCCCAGGACGACCAUUCUCAAGCUCCAGAAAACGACGAAAGGAAGAACCAAAGGAAGGAAGGAAGACCAUCUCAGAAGACCCCAGAGUCAGCCCCUACAGUCCAUCAUAGUCCAAGAAAUAGCUGAAGGAAGUCUAAAGUCCAAGCAACCUUCCUUUUUUUCUGAUUCAAGUUGUCUUUACCUUCAGCGAGGGGGCAAGGCGACCAUGGACCUCUCCCUUCCUUUUCUUUCCUUUCCUUUCCCUCCCUUCCUUCCCUUCCCUUCCUUUUCUUUCCUUUCCUUUCCCUCUCUCCCUUCCUUCCUU